rnacentral:rRNA from 1 species
AUGAACGCUGGCGGCGUGCCUAAUACAUGCAAGUCGAGCGAACGGACGAGGAGCUUGCUUCUCUGAUGUUAGCGGCGGACGGGUGAGUAACACGUGGAUAACCUACCUAUAAGACUGGGAUAACUUCGGGAAACCGGAGCUAAUACCGGAUGAUAUUUUGAACCGCAUGGUUCAAAAGUGAAAGACGGUCUUGCUGUCACUUAUAGAUGGAUCCGCGCUGCAUUAGCUAGUUGGUAAGGUAACGGCUUACCAAGGCAACGAUGCAUAGCCGACCUGAGAGGGUGAUCGGCCACACUGGAACUGAGACACGGUCCAGACUCCUACGGGAGGCAGCAGUAGGGAAUCUUCCGCAAUGGGCGAAAGCCUGACGGAGCAACGCCGCGUGAGUGAUGAAGGUCUUCGGAUCGUAAAACUCUGUUAUUAGGGAAGAACAUAUGUGUAAGUAACUGUGCACAUCUUGACGGUACCUAAUCAGAAAGCCACGGCUAACUACGU